AAAGUUACUAGCCAUGAUGAAGACCCUGCUGAUGAGAGGUACUUUAGAGAGAUUAUAAACCUUACUUUUCAUUCUAGGGGUUAUGUUAGUGCUUGUGUAGCUACUGUAUCUAGACGCCUAAGCAAAACGCAUGACUGGAUUGUGGCGAUCAAGGCUUUGAUGCUUGUUCAUAGGCUUCUGGUUGAUGGCCACCCUUCAUUUGAGGAGGAGAUUGUGUAUGCCACAAGGAGAGGGAUGCGUGUUUUGAAUAUGUCGGAUUUUAGAGAUGAGGCACACUCCCAUUCGUGGGAUCAUGCCGCGUUUGUGAGGUUUUAUGCAAUGUAUCUUGAUGAGAAAGUUGAGUUUGCAUUUUCUGAGCGGAAAUUGAAAGCCAGUGAAAGGAAAUUUGAUGAGGGUGAUGAUGGGUUUGGACCAAGAGAACAUAGGGAUGAUUUUGAUUAUGGGAUGCCUAAGAGAUCGAGGGCUUAUGGUGAUUUGAAUGGUGAUUCAGUUGGAAAAGAACAGAGGAGAG
rnacentral:misc_RNA from 1 species